rnacentral:siRNA from 1 species
AGUCGUGGAACCAUCUACUCUACC